UACAGAGGUCUCAAGCGUUGUUCGGAUUCAUUGGGCGUAAAGGGUGUGUAGGUGGCGCCGUAAGUCGGGUGUGAAAUUUCGGAGCUUAACUCCGAAACUGCAUUCGAUACUGCGGUGCUUGAGGACUGGAGAGGAGACUGGAAUUCAUGGUGUAGCAGUGAAAUGCGUAGAGAUGUGGAGGAACACCGAUGGCGAAGGCAGCCCCCUGGGCUAACACUGACGCUCAUGCACGAAAGCGUGGGGAGCAAACAGG
rnacentral:rRNA from 1 species